UUUGGCAGCAUAUAUACACAGAUAAACCUGGAAUAAUACAGAAGAUUAGCGUGAACCCUGAGCAAAGGUGACACACAAAUUCAUGAAGCAUUCCAUAUUUUU
ensembl:snRNA U6 U6 spliceosomal RNA